rnacentral:rRNA from 1 species
GACGAACGCUGGCGGCGUGCUUAACACAUGCAAGUCGAACGCGGAAGCUCAGCUUUUGUUGGGUGGAUGAGUGGCGAACGGGUGAGUAACACGUGAGUAACCUGCCCCCUUCUUUGGGAUAACGCCCGGAAACGGGUGCUAAUACUGGAUAUUCACUGGUCUUCGCAUGGGGGUUGGUGGAAAGGGGUGUUCUGGUGGGGGAUGGGCGCGCGGCCUAUCAGCUUGUUGGUGGGGUGAUGGCCUACCAAGGCUUUGACGGGUAGCCGGCCUGAGAGGGUGACCGGUCACAUUGGGACUGAGAUACGGCCCGGACUCCUACGGGAGGCAGCAGUGGGGAAUAUUGCCCAAUGGGCGCAAGCCUGAUGCAGCGACGCCGCGUGAGGGAUGGCGGCCUUCGGGUUGUGAACCUCUUUCGCUCAUGGUCAAGCCGCAACAAUGGUUGUGGUGAGGGUAGUGGGUAAAGAAGCGCCGGCUAACUACGUG